AACGAACGCUGGCGGCAUGCCUAACACAUGCAAGUCGAACGAUUGCCUUCGGGUGAUAGUGGCGCACGGGUGCGUAACGCGUGGGAAUCUGCCCUUAGGUUCGGAAUAACAGCUGGAAACGGCUGCUAAUACCGGAUGAUAUCGCGAGAUCAAAGAUUUAUCGCCUGAGGAUGAGCCCGCGUUGGAUUAGGUAGUUGGUGGGGUAAAGGCCUACCAAGCCGACGAUCCAUAGCUGGUCUGAGAGGAUGAUCAGCCACACUGGGACUGAGACACGGCCCAGACUCCUACGGGAGGCAGCAGUGGGGAAUAUUGGACAAUGGGCGCAAGCCUGAUCCAGCAAGGCCGCGUGAGUGAUGAAGGCCCUAGGGUUGUAAAGCUCUUUUACCCGGGAAGAUAAUGACUGUACCGGGAGAAUAAGCCCCGGCUAACUCCGUG
rnacentral:rRNA from 1 species